rnacentral:rRNA from 1 species
UACGGGGGGGGCAAGCGUUGUUCGGAAUUACUGGGCGUAAAGGGCGCGUAGGCGGGGGUUUAAGUUAGGUGUUUAAUCCCAGGGCCCAACCCUGGUCAGGCACCUAAAACUGGACAUCUUGAAUAGUGGAGAGGACGAUGGAAUUGGGGGUGUAGCGGUGGAAUGCGUAGAGAUCCCCAAGAACACCAGAUGCGAAGGCGGUCGUCUGGACACAUAUUGACGCUGAGGCUCGAAAGCGUGGGUAGCGAACAGG